AUGUCGUGUGUCUGCCCUCUGAUGUCCUUUUUCAACACCUACCAUCUGGGCAUAGACCAGAGCUGCUGCGUCACUGUAGCCCAUGCUGGCGGCAUCAAAAUAAUUGCUAAUGAGUACACUGACUGCUGCACGCCGGCUUGCAUUUCUUUUGGACCUAAGAAUCGCUCAAUUGGAGCAGCAGCUAAAAGCCAGGUAAUUUUCAAUGCAAAGAACACAGUCCAAAGAUUAAAAGAUUCCAUGGCCGAGAAUUCUCUGAUCCAUUUGUGGAGGGAGAAAAAUCCAAACUUGCAUAUGAUAUUGUGCAGUUGCCCACUGGGUUAACAGGUAUAAAGGUGAAAUAUAUGGAGGAGGAACAUAGUUUUACCACGGGGCAGGUGACUGCCAUGCUUUUAUCCAAACUGAAGGAGACAGCAGAAAGUGUUCUUAAGAAGCCUGUUGUGGACUGUGUUAUUUCAGUUCCUUGUUUCUAUACUGAUGCAGAAAGACGAUCAGUGAUGGAUGCAACACAGACUGCUGGUCUCUGUUGUCUGCGAUUAAUGAAUGAAACUACUGCAGUUGCUCUUGCAUAUGGAAUCUAUAAACAAGAUCUUCCUGCCUUAGAAGAGAAACCAAGAAAUGUAGUUUUUGUAGACAUGGGAGAUUCUUCUUAUCACGUUUCUGUAUGUGCAUUUAAUAGAGGAAAACAUAAAGUUCUGGCCACUGCAUUUGACACAACACUGGGAGGCAGAAAAUUUGAUGAGGUACUAGUAAAUCAUUUUUGUGAAGAAUUUGGAAAGAAAUACAAGCUAGACAUAAAGUCCAAAAUCCGUGCAUUAUUACGACUGUCUCGGGAGUGUGAGAAAAAAAAAAAAUUGAUGAGCGCAAAUGCUUCAGACCUUCCUUUGAGCAUCGAAUGUUUUAUGAAUGAUGUUGAUGUUUCUGGAACUAUGAAUAGAGGCAAAUUUCUGGAGAUGUGUGAUGAUCUCUUAGCUAGAGUGGAGCCACCACUUCAUAGUGUUUUGAAACAGGCAAACUUAAAGAAAGAAGAUAUUUAUGCAGUGGAGAUAGUUGGUGGUGCAACACGAAUCCCUGCAGUGAAAGAGAAGAUCAGCAAAUUUUUUGGUAAAGAAAUUAGUACAACACUAAAUGCCAAUGAAGCUGUUACUCGAGGCUGUGCAUUGCAGUGUGCAAUCUUAUCGCCUGCUUUCAAAGUCAGAGAACUUUCUAUCACUGAUGUAGUGCCAUAUCCAAUAUCUCUGAGAUGGAAUUCUCCAGCUGAAGAAGGGUCAAGUGACUGUGAAGUCUUUUCGAAAAAUCAUGCUGCUCCUUUCUCUAAAGUACUCACAUUUUACAGAAAGGAACCUUUCACUCUUGAGGCUUAUUAUAGCUCUCCUCAAGAUUUGCCUUAUCCAGAUCCUGCUAUAGCUCAGUUCUCAGUUCAGAAAGUCACUCCUCAGUCUAAUGGCUCCAGUUCAAAAGUGAAAGUCAAGGUUCGAGUAAAUGUCCAUGGCAUUUUCAGUGUGUCCAGUGCAUCUCUAGUGGAAGCGCAUAAGUUUGAGGAAAAUGAGGAACCAAUGGAAACAGAUCAGAAUGCAAAGGAGGAAGAGAAGAUGCAAUUGGACCAGGAGGAGCCACAUGUUGAAGAGCAACAGCAGCAGACACCAGCAGAAAAUAGGUUGGAGUCUGAAGAAAUGGAGACCUCUCAAGCUGGAUCAAAAGACAAAAACAUGGACCAACCACCUCAAGCCAAGAAGGCAAAAGUGAAGAGCAAUACUGUGGACCUGCCAAUUGAGAAUCAACUCUUAUGGCAGAUAAACAGAGAGAUGCUCAACUUAUACAUUGGAAACGAGGGUAAGAUGAUCAUGCAGGAUAAACUAGAGAAAGAGAGGGAUGAUGCUAAGAAUGCAGUAGAAGAAUAUGUGUACAAAAUGAGAGACAAGCUGAGUGGUGAAUAUCAGAAGUUUGUGAGUGAAGAUGACCAUAACAAUUUUACCUUGAAAUUAGAAGAUACAGAAAAUUGGUUGUAUGAGGAUGGAGAAGACCAGCCAAAGCAAGUUUACGUUGAUAAAUCGGCUGAAUUAAAAAUCUAGAUCAGCCUAUCAAGAUGCGAUUCCAGGAAUCUGAAGAAAGACCAAAAUUAUUUGACAAUCUAGGGAAACAAAUUCAACAGUAUAUGAAAGUAAUCAGCUCUUUCAAAAACAAGGAGGACCAGUAUGAUCAUUUGGGUACUGCUGACAUGCUAAAAGUGGAAAAAAGCACGAAUGAGGCCAUGGAGUGGAUGAAUAACAAGCUGAAUCUGCAGAACAAGCAGUGUCUGACCAUGGAUCCAGUUGUCAAGGCAAAAGAGAUUGAAGCUAACAUUAAAGAGCUGAUGAGUAUCUGAAGCCCUAUAAUUUCAAAGCCCAAACCCAAAGUGGAACCUCCAAAACAGGAGCAAAAAAAUACAGAACAGAAUGGACCAGUGGAUGGAAAAGGAGACAACCUGGGCCCUCAGGCUUCUGAGCAGGGUACAGACACAGCUGUGCCUUUGGAUUCAGACAAGAAGCUUCCUGAAAUGAACAUUGAUUCCAACAAUUGUUUAUAUUAA